UACGUAGGGUGCAAGCGUUAAUCGGAAUUACUGGGCGUAAAGCGUGCGCAGUCGGUUAUUUAAGUCGGAUGUGAAAUCCCCGGGCUCAACCUGGGAAUUGCAUUCGAUACUGGAUGGCUAGAGUUCGGCAGAGGGAAGUGGAAUUUCAGGUGUAGCGGUGAAAUGCGUAGAUAUCUGAAGGAACAUCAGUGGCGAAAGCGACUUCCUGGACCAGAACUGACGAUCAGGCACGAAAGCGUGGGGAGCAAACAGG
rnacentral:rRNA from 1 species